AGAAAAGAAAUUGUCGCUGGUGUCGAAGAGAGUGGGGGGCCAGUCGAGUAGUGAUGCCGAUGGAAGCACCAGUAUCAUCGAGUUCUCAGUAUUCAGAGGAGAGAGGUUUCCGUGUGCAUAAUUGUGUGUGAAUGGUUUUCGUGUUAGACUAUAAGUGAGGCUAUUUACACUAACUCCGUCCACCACUGCUCAGACCAAACUCAAGACAGCCACGACAGAUUUAUUUGGGGUCAACUGCUGAUCAAGUGAUGGCGGGCAUAUUUGAAUUUUUCGCGAUGGGGCAGAGAUAUUAAACUGGUAAAUGGGUUAGACAUUUAGUGGAUUAAAAGACUGGAUAACUAAGUGAAUAUUUGCACUCCAAUAGUCUGGUGGAAACACAGGAUUUUAUGACAAACUGCGCCCCCAUGUGCAGCUGUAGUAUGGGUGUAACGAUGUUAUGUGUAGGCUCUGUGUUGUCACGCUGGAGAUCCGGGUUUGAAUUCUACCCCUUUACAUACUUUUUCUCAUGUCUCCACUCUUAAUAUUUCCUAUAAUACUACAUAUAGAAAUAAAUAAAAGAGAUUCCUUGCAGUGAUUUGGUCACUGAAGGUUGGGGAGUUGAGAGAAAGAUUUGAUCCGGAUAAAAUUAACCAUAGUUUUACUGUAGUAAUAAUGUAGUAACCAUAUUUUGGUGGAAACUAUAUAGUUCUGAUGUACUAACCAUGGUGUUACUACAAUAACAUGUUGUUAAUAGUAGUUAAUAGUAACCAUGUUUAAUUUUAUGGUUACUAUGAUUUUACUAGAAAAAUACCAUUGUGAUACUAUGGUUACUGUAGUAAAACAUGGUUAAUAUUUGUAAGGUAGGAUUAGGGGUUGGUGUAGGGUGUCUGUGGGACUCCAAAUAAACACAAUAAAAAUGCUGCAGUGAUACCCAUAUACUGUAUGUUAGAAUUUAAAUGGGGUGUAAGCAUCUAAUGCUAUUUGCACUUAGUGUAAAGAAGAUGCUUUUUGUUGCUUUUUACACUUAGUGAAAAUAGCAUCUGUCGCUAUUUGCACUUAGAGCAAAUAGCCUCUGCCUAUAUUAUAUCAGGUUGCAUGACAUGAUGCAAAUCUUUUUUUUUCUUUUUUUUUUUGUGGUUGUUAGUUAAUUAAAUAUCAAAUUUGACCUAUUAAUUAUGAAAAUAAUUGUAUGGCAAUAAUGUGUGUUUUUAUGUACACUUGUGUGCAUAUGUGUAUUUGUGUGUUGGCUCUUCCAAUGGGCUGGAUCAUAAAACCAGAUAUUUUUACUUAAACUUACAGUUAAUGUAUCAUGUGAGAAAGUCCUGCAACUGUUUGAUAUUUGGACUAAUUUCAGCAAUCUAAUUGCUGCAGGGUAAUUUGUAUUGGUAACAGUCUGCUAUGUCUGUUUUAGUAUAUUUAAAUCCAACAUAUGGCAACGGAUAAAGCUGCCAUGUUGUGAGGUCAGUAUGGUAAUUGUUUAAGACUACUGUACCGUAGAAACUGAACCCUUUAAAUAUCAUUUGAUAUUUAUUUGAGGAACCAGAAUUACUAAAAUUUCAGUUGAAAUGCCAAAUAAAUGCUGUCUCUCUUUACUUACUCUCUUUAUUUGGAAAAGAAUCCAGUGGAGUCUGGGUUUCACUGUUAUAGUCUGGUUUACAUUUGGGCUCUUGUUUGUACGUGGCCAUGUCUCAAAGAGCAGACCAUCUCCCACCCUGUUUACGACAGAGUAUUUACACACAUUCUCUCACUUGGCUGCUACAGCAAUGCAGUACCUGACACUGCCAAGUUUUCCCUGCUGAGAGUUCAUUUAGCCCCCAACCAGCAUUUGGGUUAAUCUAUUAUUAGUGGGAUUCAUUUUAUGAAUAAAGGCCUGAAAUUAGACCUGCUAGUGUAAGAGAUUAAGCUUUUUAAAAUUUCUUAAAAAUAAAAUGUUACUGCACUUCCCUUGUACAGAUAUUAAAACUGUCAUUAAAUGAACAACUAUGAACAGCUUAAACAUAAAUAAAAAAUAACACGAAUAGUGUAUAUCAGGUAUUAUAUAAAAUAUUCUAUAAUAAAUUCAACUUUGCCAUUGUUGUGCCCCAUGAAAGUUUUUUUUUUCU